ACGAAUACUCCUUUCUUAGUACGAAAGGACCAGAAAGGAAGUGCCAAUGCCUAACAGUAAGCACUAAUUAAAUUAAAAAC
rnacentral:rRNA from 1 species